rnacentral:rRNA from 1 species
GACGAACCGAGCGAACGUUAUUCGGAAUCACUGGGCUUAAAGGGCGCGUAGGCGGCCUGUCAAGUCAACUGUGAAAUCUCCGGGCUUAACUCGGAACGGUCAGUUGAUACUGUCAGGCUAGAGUGCAGAAGGGGCAAUCGGAAUUCUUGGUGUAGCGGUGAAAUGCGUAGAUAUCAAGAGGAACACCUGAGGUGAAGACGGGUUGCUGGGCUGACACUGACGCUGAGGCGCGAAAGCCAGGGGAGCAAACGGG